UCCAGCGUGGAACGCAAAGAACGCAGUGACGUCACGGUUGUUUAUGCACGUUGCUGGGUGGAGGAGCGGCUGAGUGGAUGUCGGUGCUGGCUGGAGUCGCCCUUCGGGGCCCCGCCGGUCUUCUCCUGGACUGAUAACGAGCUCGACCAGCGGGAUGAAGACAUUGUUUCAAGAGAUCAAAGCUUCCAUUAAGAACAACUCCGACCAGGAUCGAUCUUUCUGGAGGCCGGUACUCCCAUGGGGAGGGGUCUUCACCAUUAAAGCCGGCAGGAAAGCGGUGUCUUGUAUGCCAUUGUACGUGGAGAUAACGCUGAAGAACACCUGCACUAUCGAUGGCUUCUUAAUGCUGCUGUAUGUCAUCCUGCGCGAGAAUAAUUCCUUCCCCCGGGAGCUGUCGGUCUACUUGGGCCGGGAGUUUGUGGAUUGCUUCCUUCACCUGAUGGACACCUACAGCUUCACCUCGGUAAAGCUGCUGUGGAUAUGGGACAAGAUGGAGAAGCGGCAGUACAAGUCCGGGAUACACAAGGCCACUCUGGAGAUUGACUUGUUUGGUAACGAGCACGAGAAUUUCACUAGAAAUCUGGAGCAUCUCAUGGCCACCAUACAGGAGAGUUACUGCUCCAGCUCGAGGUGCCCGCUCCGUGCCCAGGAGAGCCACAUGCAAACUAUUCUAAUCAACCCUCCCCAUGACAUACCGCAUGGAGAUCUCAUUCAGAUGGCGGUGGAUGAGCUGUUUUGUUCUCGGAUUGAAGUAUGUGAACAGAUUGGGUGCGGCUGCCUGAGAGAAUUUUCCCAGCGGAUUUUCUGCCAUGGAGCUCCUCCAUUUGUCAUCUUAAACAUGGAACAGUGGAAGUCAGAAGACCUGGCUUAUGUGCCGUAUUAUCUGGACUUAUCCGACCAUAAGUAUCUUCUAGAAGGCGCCACUCUUUUCAACAAGGAAGAACACCAUUACUCUGCAGCAUUCCAGAUCGAUGGGUAUUGGAUGCAUUACGACGGCCUCAGGAAUGUAAACUUAAUUCUUUUACACAAACCUCCGGAGCUGCUCCUCUUGUCAUCGCUGGUUUACAUACGCGCAGCCGAGAAAUGACCGGAAUUUCUUUUCUUUUUUUUUUUCUUUUUUACAGAAUUCUAUUUUUUAAGGUGCAAUUUAGAAAAAUGGAAAUUUUAGAAAAAAAAGUUAAAAUUUUUGUCAUUUAUAGAAACUUUAAUCAUGUUGGUGCUAAAAAUGUUUAAUAUUUCAGCUACGCUGUAUCUUCUACAAGGUAGAGUGGAGGUGAAGCUGCACGCUGUGGAGACGGUAUUCUUUCUAUAGAGAUAUAUGGAGCAGGUAUACAGAGAAGUUUCUUACAGCGGUGACGCGCAGACCCCCUAGAAAUAUCUGCAGAAUGACAGGUAACUUGUGACGUGCUGUAAAAUGUACAGGAGCACAAUGUGGCUGUAGCUGUGUGUAGUGCUAUGUAAUGCAAAUGGUUAAUAUCGAGUUGGAUAAUCUAGCCGGACAGUGUAAGGAUAAAGCAAUAUACUUUGUGCUAUUACGUUACACAAUCAUGAUGUACGUGUGUGGUCAGGUUCUUACGGUUUACUUUACUGUCAUUUAUAGGUUAUUGUUUUAUAUAUGGAAUCAUGUCAUUAACUGUUUCAUGGGGUAGGACCACCAUGAGAGGUGAUGGCAUAUCACUUGGAUAUAUCGGCACUUCGUGAACCUCUGCGUCCCCCACAGUCAACGUUUACCCUGCACAUCAGGGCACAGGGAGGUGUCUGUGAAGGAGUCUUCUUUCUGAAGAUGGGUAGGGGUCUCUGCAGUCUGCCCCCCGUCUCCACCAUUUAGGAUGUAAUUUCAUAUCUAAGCGAUACGCCAUCACUUGUAAUGGUGGGUGUCUCCCCCCCCCCCGUCCUUUUUAAAGGUAGGUUAUAGGGCCCAUUUAACCCUUAGGGCCAUACACUUUCAUACACUUGUGCAGCUCGGAGCUAUUACUUAGAAACUUCCCAUAGGCCGAGCAUGCAUGUGUUUCCAACAGGGAGAGGGGAAUGAGCCAUUGCUCAUCACCCUUCAGAACAAAGUUCGGCCAUGGUGAAAUGCAGCAUGUCCAAUCCUUUCGCCCCCUAAUCUGUGAUGAACGCGUGCUGAGCAUUUCAUACAGAUUAGAUGGUCGCCUGCUCCCGCCAAAGUCUGCAGAUUUUGCCAACCAAGUAAUGUUUAUGGCCCGCUUAGAGGGUUUUUUUUCUCGGAUUAAAAUUUUGAUGACCUACACUCUGGAUAGUUCAUCAUUAUCAAGUCUGUGGGGGUCUGACACCCCGACGAUCGGCUGUGUGAAGAGGCUGCAGUACUUGGGUGAAUGUCACGUCCAUAGGCUUACAUAAGGAUUAAUCAUAAAUAUUUCAUUACCAAAAAAAAACCUUUCAGUGUAAUCUGGGCAUAGACUGUCCAUUAGUAUUGGUGGUUAAAAUGAAGCUGCAUUUCCAUUCCGUAAAUGCCAGCCGUGCGAUCAGCGGAUCAGCACGGGUCCGGUUUCUGACCUCCCCAGUGAUCAGCUGAAAACUCCAGACCAGCCAUACGUUUCCCUGUAGGUGAAGGUGUAGUAUUACAUGACGGCAAUUCAAAAUUAUGUUUAAAGGGGUUGUGCAGUGCAAAGAUAUUGGUGCCCAAUCCUCAGGAUAGGUCAUCACUUCCAGAUCGGCGGGGUUCUGACUCCGGGCACCACCACCCGUAAUUAUACUGUGCCACCGCUGCAACUGAGACGUCCCAACAACUGAUCGGCAGGGGGGUCCUGGGAGUCAGACCCCCGCCACUCUGGUAUUGAUGACCUCUCUUGAGGAUAGGUCAAUAAUAUCUUUGCACUGCACAACCCUUUGGGCACUAAGACUCAUAGACCCUUUAAUAGGGCAUAUGGAAAGGGGGUUAUUCUGCUGGCACAACCCCUUGCCUUGCUGCUCAUGCUUCUGUCAUUGAAUAUAAUGGAGCGUGUUUGCACAUUUAUGGCUAACUUUUGGGCAGUCUGUUAUCUAACAACCAGCCCAUCCAAGCCCAGCAGCCCAUACCUUCCUACCAUUGUAUGACAGUGAAGUAUAUAUAAAUCGUGCCUUCCAUUUUUAUUUUUCCAUGGAUGUUUCCAGUAACCAGUGGGUUGUGCUUAUAGGGCAGUGGUGGCGAACCUAUGGCACGGGUACCAGAGGCAGCACUCAGAGCCCUCUCUGUGGGCACCCGCACCCUGGAAACAGUCUAAGCUGUACCAAUAUGCCUUAGAAUUUUCCUGCCAUUCGUCAGUGCAGGGCACGCUAUGAACGGCACAGGCAGCGCACUGAAUGUAGUCAGGCUGUUAUAGCAGUACAUGGAAGAUGCACUAUAUUGGACUGUAGCAUUUAGGUUAAAUUGGUGUGUUGGCACUCGAUCUGUAAAAGGUUCGCCAUCACUGUUAUAGGGGCUGUCCACCUCCAGGGACCUUUCGGCCUUGUCCAUGUUGCUAGAACUGUGGAGGUAAGCAUACAUACCAGCUCCCGAUGCAGUAUUCCAGCUCCUUUGGCUCCCCGCUGCCACAUUCUGGUCCUGCUGGUCACCAUCUGCUUUGAUGGGGGACAUGUCAGCUGCGGCAUCAGUGAUGUCUGUGCGUCAUGUCACGCAUGGGAGACGUGUCACUGUUGUGGCUAGUCAUCGGCUGCAGUGUCGCACGUGACCUCCAUCAAACUGGAUGGUGACCAACGGGACUAGAGCGUGGCAGCGGGAACCGUAGGAGCGGAAACCCUUUGACGGAGAGAGGGUAGGUAUGUUUGCAUCUGCAGGUCCUGCAACAUGUGGAGGGUGGAGGGGAUGGUUGAAAGGUCCCUGAAGGUGGAAAACCCCUUUAAUACAACUCAGGGAGUAUGUAUUCUCUGUCUGUGGGACUGAUGAAGAGAGACAUGCACAGCACUAUAGACGGAGAACGGAGUGGUCUUCACACAUGUAAACUACCGCCCCAUUCACACACACACACGUAUGGGACUUGGGGAACCCAUGUUGGACUCGUCCCAUCGGUCGGACCCCCAGCAACCGUACAUUUAUCACCUCUACUGUGCCCAUAAUACAUGGAACAUUGCUGCCGCCUAAGAAAUUCCCCCAAAUCUGCUGAUCUCAAAUGUCUUAAAAAAAGGGAAGUUUGUUUUUGGAAAAAAAAUUUGUUGCAUUUUUUUUUUUUUCUAAAAUUUCCAAUGCUUUGGUGUGAAAAUAUAAGUUCACAAAUACUCGGUUACAUUUUAGUUGUUAUGUUAAAAUCCGUAUAUUAAAAAAUAAUUCCUUCCACCGCCCCUGGUGUAAUAAGGGCUUGUUGCUUGUUCACACUUGGCAUCCAAGAAGAAUGUUUGGACUAUGAUAGUUCUAUAAUGUUAUAUGUAUAUCGUGACUCAGAAUGAUUAAGUGGGAAAUGAUCUAUGCAAUACUUUGUAAUUCUUUCUACACUUUCGCAUUUGUCCCAGGAAUAAAUUUCUUAU